rnacentral:rRNA from 1 species
GACGAACGCUGGCGGCGUGCUUAACACAUGCCAGUCGAACGGAAAGGCCCUGCUUUUGUGGGGUGCUCGAGUGGCGAACGGGUGAGUAACACGUGAGUAACCUGCCCUUGACUUUGGGAUAACUUCAGGAAACUGGGGCUAAUACCGGAUAGGAGCUCCUGCUGCAUGGUGGGGGUUGGAAAGUUUCGGCGGUUGGGGAUGGACUCGCGGCUUAUCAGCUUGUUGGUGGGGUAGUGGCUUACCAAGGCUUUGACGGGUAGCCGGCCUGAGGGGGUGACCGGCCACAUUGGGACUGAGAUACGGCCCAGACUCCUACGGGGGGCAGCAGUGGGGAAUAUUGCACAAUGGGCGGAAGCCUGAUGCAGCAACGCCGCGUGCGGGAUGACGGCCUUCGGGUUGUAAACCGCUUUCGCCUGUGACGAAGCGUGAGUGACGGUAAUGGGUAAAGAAGCACCGGCUAACUACGUG